rnacentral:lncRNA from 1 species
UUCUGUUGCUGCCUCCAUCAAUAUAAAUGUAAUGCUCCUCCUCUCUUUUUCUCUUCAUCACAUCUACCAUUUUUCUAUCUGAGUCAGGUUAAUUGAGCUGGCCUGCAACUAAAGAGAAAAAGAAAAUAUGGGUGGUGAUUAUCUGCCUUUUCUGGCCAUGUUUCUUGUCCAAAUGGGCUAUGCUGGAAUGAAUAUCUUUGUGAAGCUGGCCAUGGAUUCUGGGAUGAACCCCUUCAUCCUCGUCGCUUAUAGGCAAAUCUUUGCCACUGUGGCCAUGAUUCCUUUUGCUUAUUUUCUUGAGAGGUGAUGGACAGAAAUUUUGUUACAUUUGAUUGAUUCCAUGCAUGGCUUUGGCUUUAAUGUCUUUCUUUCUUUACAGGCUUUAGUUUCUGAAGUUGAGUCCAUCUUUUGGUUUCUUGAGUAGUUUUUUCUUUAGCCUUCGUUUGGUUGAUGAGAAAACACAGGAACAUGUUUCCUUUUACUCUGUUUUUCAUCUUAUUGAUUUCCUUGAUGUCUCCUUAAAGAAGCUUCUUCAUUUCUGAACUUCCAUGAAUCAAAAACUCUCUGAAAAUCUCCAAACUGAUCAUAUCCUGACGGGGUUAGAGAAAAACUCUUGAAUUUUCUUUUAUCAUCUUCCUUCUUUCUCUUGAUCAAAAAGAAAAAAUGAUUUAGCUUCCAUGGCAAUGCAAUAUUAUUCUUUACAGAUUAUUCUAUGCAUAUAUAUAUACCUGUUCAAAUAGUUCAGAAGCAUGUAGGCUUUAAUCUAUCCCAUUUUUUUUCCAGGAAAACAAGACCCAAGAUUACAAGAAUUGUUCUAUUCCAAGCCUUCUUGUCUUCCAUUUUCGGGUAAGUUUCCAAUUUCCAAAUUUUCAUUUCUAGAUUUCAAUGCUUGUAGCCUUUUUCUUGCCAAACAAACAUGGUAAACUACAUCUUAUUUUUUUGCUGUUUUUCACUUGGUCACAAUCAUCUUUCAGUCUCUAAUUUUCAGAGACUUGCAGGGCAACCUUGAACCAGAUCCUUUACUUCAUUGGGCUAAAACAUUCCAACCCGACACUAGGCUGCGCAUUUAACAACCUUUUCCCAGCCAUGACUUUCCUCCUUGCUGUCCCCUUCAGGUGCUUGCCACCACCCUCAAAGCCUAAAAGACGAGUUUUUCAAAAAUUUUAUUGCUUUUCUGACAAUCUUCUUUUCAAUUUGUAUGCUUAUUAGGCUUGAAACAGUGGGAAUUAAGACAAGGCCAGGUCAGGCUAAGGUGCUGGGAACAGUAGUAUGUAUAGGAGGGGCCAUGAUACUGACAUUUUACAGAGGACACGCCAUCAAUAUCGGUGAAUCCGGCAUCCAUUGGAAGUAUGCAGAGCAGCUAAAAACUAGAGAUUCUCAGAGUGGGGCCAACUUCAUCUUGGGACCUUUUCUUCUGAUCACCAGCUGUAUUUCUUGGGCCAUAUGGUUCAUAAUUCAAGUGAGUACCUAAAUUCUUUCUAGGAAAGUAAUUAGUUCUAUAGUUUUGAAUUCAAGUUGGUUGAUUCGUGAAAGUACUACCCAUUGGUACGUGAUUUCAGGGAAGAAUGUGUGUGAAGUUUGCAGCUCCUUACACAAGUUCCACUCUGAUGUGCUUCAUGGCCAGCAUUGAGUGUGGAGUCAUUGGCUUGUUUGUUGACCACCAACCUUCAGCAUGGUCAUUAAAUGAUUCCAUCAGGCUUAUUGCAGCUCUUUACUCGGUAUUAUACUUUAUCAAAUAUAUCUCUCUUAUUUCCGUGUAAAUAUUAUCUGUUUUAAGCUAAAUAGAUGGUCAUAACUUUAAACAUGUCGACCCAGUUACAAGGAACCUAUUACAAUCAUUUUCUAUGUAGAUAUUGUCCAUUUCAAGCCCUUUAGUUCGUGUCUAUUAGUUAUAUAUGAGAAGUCUACUACUAAUUUUUUCCUCUACUUAAUGUGAGAUCUCAUAACCAUUGAUGCAAACACGAGAUUUACAUCGUGUCUCAUAGAAUAUAUCCUUACAGCUUUGAAAGGUGUAUAGUCAGUUAUCAUAAUACUACUAGUUUUUUCCCCGAUUGAUAUGAAAUAUCAAAAUUACCUUUCAUACAAAUAAAAUGCUCUACUACUAUUUGUAAUGACUUACUCUCUCUUAAGUGGAUAAUAUCCAUUUUGGAGCCAAGACUUUAAAACCCGCCCUAUCCAAUUAAUGGAAGAACACUUAUUCCCAUAACUGAUGUUUAUGUGGGAUGGUACAUGAUCAAACAAUGCUAAUAAAUACUUUUUGAGGAAUUUGUCCGAGACUUCAAUCUAUACUCAAAGUUUGGCAUCAUUUUUUCAGGCAAUUGUGUGUACUGCACUAGCAUUUUGCCUCAUGUCCUGGACUAUACAAAGGAAAGGUCCUCUCUACGUGUCAGUCUUCAGCCCCUUGCUCCUUGUCAUUGUGGCCAUUCUCAGCUGGGCCCUUCUUCGCGACAAACUACACUUUGGGACGUAAGUACUUGACCCUUUACUCUAAAAUUUUCAUACCCCAUUUCCAUUUCCAUCUUCACCUUAUGUUUGGAGACUAGCUCUCCAUUUCUGAUCCCAAUCUGUGUGGUUUGACUCAGUGUUGUAGGGUCUCUGUUUGUUGUUUUGGGGCUCUAUGCUGUUCUAUGGGGAAAGGGUAAGGAGGAGAACCAGAGGGGCAGCAGGGAAGAGGCAGAAGAGGGGAAGGAAGACUUGGAGUUGCAGAUAAAUGGGAAGCUUUACAUCAGAAGUUGAAUGAGGAUUCUGCUCCAAAAACUUAGAACUAAUUCUAUGUUAAAUGCUCUAAUCUCUAAUGUUUGUUGUUGGGUUGAAAUCCUGAAAUGAAUGAGAAAAGUAGCUUAUAAUUUGGGAACUAUAAAACAAUGAGCCUAUUACUCACUACAUUUCACAAAAAAAAAAAAAAUCAAAAUCAAAAUCCCAUUUAGAAAAUAAAAACUAUCCUGUGUGAUGAAAUGGUUGUUUUUAUUGGCAUCAUCACGAAGGUCCUUGUAUGAAUGAUAUGUAUUCUAAUUGAACGAGUCUAAUUCUAAUUGUUUCAUUCCAAAACAAGAAUAUUUAAGAACGGUCCAGAGGUUGGUGAGUGCUAUAAAUAAUUUAGCUAUUCUUUUUAUAUCGAAAAAUGUCAUAUAUAUUUAUAAAUAGAGACUUAUUUGAUGUGUGGAAAUAUGGUAUUAAGUUAUUAGAUUAAUGGUUUCAAAGUAGAUAAUAUUCAUAUAAUUUUCAAUGCAUUAUAUCAAAGUCAACCUUAGUUGAAAACAUCAAAAGUUUGACUUUUUGUAAACCUUAUAGACCAUGAAGUGUAGACCACGAAGUGUCUCUAUUGUGUUGAAAAGCCUAAUAAAUUAAUAAGCCUAAAGCAAAUGUAAAAAUCCCGAAAAUUUGUUAAAGAAUUAACGGAAGAUACGCGAGAAAGAAAAUAAAAAGGAAACAUAAAAAUAAAUAAAUAAAUAAAUAAAUAAAAGAUUUAAAAUGAGAAAAUUAUUUUUAUAUAUUACUUUAAACUCAUUUUAUAUCUUUUUCUUUUACAUGUAAAUAUUAAAUAAUUUAAAAAUAUAUAAAAUUUUAAUUAUACCUGAAUUUCUUUCAUAUUUUUAAUAAAGAAACCAAAUAAUUAGAAUUUUUUCCUCUUCCAAUAUGAAAAAUGACAACCUUAAAAUGUAUGAUUUUUAAAUAAUUUUCAUUCUCUCCUUCACUUGUCCUAAAAGUAGGAUUUAAUUUGGAUAGGCUUCUAAAGAAGAUAAAAACACAUUUUUAUUAAUUUUAUUAAAAUUGGUUAUUUACUUAAAAAAGAAAUUUAAUAUAUUGUUAAAAUAUUAUUUUUUAUAGAAAUUUUAUUUUAAUUUAUUAUUAUUAAAAAAAAAGCUAAUUCAUUUCUAAAAAUGAUAAUUAUAAUCAUGAUCCUAUUAUCUUUUCCUACCAAAUCCUACAUUUAAGACGACGUGGCAAAAAGUAAACAAAGCCCCCGGAUGACUAUAGUAGACUAGAUCGCAGAGGAUCCUAACCCAGACCAACGGCGUCUAAACGUCCGUCACAUUCGACCAUCUAUAAAUGCUAGAGUCUCCUAUCAAUUCCUUCUCCUCUCGUUUGGGCAGCUUCUCGAGAUCUGCCCUCUACGUUUCCCAAAAUUACUAUUCUGUCCUUACCAGGUAAUUCCUCUUCCAUGAGUAGAUCUUGAUUCAGAUUCUGGUAUAGAUCUGAUCGUUUUCCUUGUUGAUUUGAUUGUUCGUCUAGGGUUUGUGUUUGAAUUUCCAUUUUAUUUUUUUUGGCGAUUUGAUUUUUUUUGUAUAGAGAUUUAGCUGUGCGAAAAUGAAGAUUCGAUGUUAAAUCUGUGCGUUUUUUUUUUUGCUUUUUUAUGAAGUUGGAUUGAGAAUCUUGAUUUAGUUCGGAAUUACCUUCGUGGAUUUGGAUUUGUUCGGUUUGGUUGUUCAGAAUUGGAUUUGGUUUGGGGUUCCAAUUUUGUGGAAUAAAAAAAAUUUAAUGGAAUUUUUUUGGAGAUAAAUAAGUUUUGGGUGUAAAAAGAUUUUCCUCGGUGUUUAUUCAAUAUAUGGCGAAUUUUAGUAAUAAUAGAGUUGCCGAAGAGAUCUAAGGAGCCUUAAAAAACAUUUCUUUGAAACAUUUUUGGGUAAACUAUUUGCUAUUGUUGAAAAAAUAAAUAAAUAAAUAACGAUGCUAGGGCAUUUUAUUAUUAUUAUUUAUUUAUUAUUUUUUGGGGCGUGGUUGGAUUUGGGUUUCUGUGAUUUGAAAUUCAUUUCUGAAUUCCAAAUCUGUAGGCAUUUUAAGUAACAAAACUGGGAAUUUCGGAUAUGGAGGAGAUUCAAAUUCCAAGGCUCCAAUUAUUGUAGGAAAACAUGGAUUUGUUGAUUAUUCUGUUUUGUGUAUGUUUUCCCUAGAUAUGUUUUUUUUUUUUUUUUAUAGGUAUUUUCCUUAGAUAUGUAUUGUACCUCCGUUUACGGGUAUUUUUUUUUUAUCUAUAGACGCAAAACAUGGGGUUGUCUUUCACCAAGCUUUUCAGCCGGCUCUUUGCCAAGAAAGAGAUGCGAAUUCUUAUGGUGGGUCUUGAUGCUGCUGGUAAGACCACCAUUUUGUACAAGCUCAAGCUGGGAGAGAUCGUUACCACCAUUCCCACAAUUGGUAUGUUUUGCACCUUGUAGUCAUUGACCCAUAUGCUAGAUUGUCCUCAUAUUUUCUUGAACAGAGAUAAAGAGAAUAUAAAAUAAAAUAAAAUUAUUAUGACUAACUUUCCCAUCCUCCAAUAGUUUUAGGCCUUAAGUUUUUCUUUUCUUCCUCCAGUUUAAAUGGUUAUUGACCCAGGAUUAUAUGUUUAUGUUUCAUCAACCUAACCUUAAUUGACAUUUACUUGUAGCGAAUCAAUCACUUCAUUGUGUGACUUAUGUCUUUCUUUUUUAAUAUACAUACUUCUGUUUACUUACAAAAAAAAAUGUCUCUUUCUUUUUUAAGUGGUUUUGAUGGAGGGUUUAUACUGAAUUGUCGUUGAUUUGGUUUUGGAAAGUAGAACUCAUUCAUGGUUUUACCCAGGAUUUAAUGUGGAGACUGUGGAAUAUAAGAACAUUAGCUUUACUGUCUGGGAUGUUGGUGGCCAGGACAAGGUAUGUUAUAUUUUUUGUACCAGUGCUUUACAAGGCAAAUUCUUGGCUAUAUAUUUGGGUGACAUGAUGAGCUUUUUCCUGGGUGUUUUUGUUGAAUUGAACUUUGCUCCAUCAGCAUGUAACAUAAGCAUGAACUAUACUAUGCUGCCUUUUCUUUUGGUUUUAUUUGUCCAUAGGAGGGCAACUAUCCAUGCUGUGGCAGACAUCUUGUUACAUGUGCACAAUUGACUUUUGUGAUCGUAUUUCUUCCAGUUUUUAAUUUUGUUUGUUUAGGCUAACUUUUGGAGAAUAUAUUACUGAGUCAACUUUGAGCAUUUCCUUUACCCCUGAACUCCAAACCAAACCAACAAGGAAAAAAAAACCUCUCUGAAAAAAUGAUUCCCAUAUGCUUGUUUCUGUUGGAAUGAGAUGUAUGUUUGUCUAGUGAUCUGUUGGAAUGAGAUAUGUGUGUGCACCUAUUUUUAGUUCCUUGUGUAUGCCAUGCCUAUGUAAUUUGAAUAUUCUUAAAAUGUGAGCUUAUAGUCUUUCAUUCGUUUAUAUAUGCUUCCAUUGGCUCUAACAUUGUCAGAAACUAAAUCAGCUUGAGCUAUGUUUUUUUUUUUUGGUCAAUUUUCUCGCCUAUUGUAUCAGUGAAGGCAGCAAAACUAUUGCUAAUAAACAGUUGUCUUUGUGAUUUGAUCGAUGAUCGCAAUGGAUCCUCUUGGAAAAUAAAUACUGUUUUGGUUCGUAAUCCACCCAGAGUGCCUAUAUUAAAUUAAUUGGCAAGGCAUAUCUUGAUUUAUCCUUAGGUUGUUCUGUACUGGUCAAAAUCAUCACUCUUUUUGUGAAAUGUAAAUGAGUUUAUCAGUUUUAAAUUGGGAAUGCAGUAUCUCUCAUGCAUUAUGUAUUCUCUCAUUGUUUUGCACAUCCAGAUUCGUCCUUUGUGGAGACACUACUUCCAGAACACUCAGGGUCUCAUCUUCGUGGUUGAUAGCAAUGAUCGUGACCGUGUAGUUGAGGCUAGGGACGAGCUACACAGGAUGUUGAAUGAGGUAAUGAAAAGCUAGAAGUUACCUACAUUUUCUCCAAGUUGAUUUCCAUCUUUUCAGUAAAAGAAAUUCUCUAGAAUUAAUGAAAUUGGUUGUGGCAAAUAGCCUGGCCCUACAAGCCGCAUUUCAUUCUAUUUUAUUCUUUUACUUCUAGCAACAUUUAUCUGCCAGUUUCCUGAUCUUAUUUUCUGCCAGAACUGAAAAGAAAAAUAGUUGUACAAGUACAAAGCUCUUUAUCCAUGUUUGGAUGUUUUGAGAUUUAUAUAUUUUCACUUAAGAUGUUGCUUGCUUGCUUGCAUGCAUAGGAUGAAUUGAGGGAUGCAGUGCUGCUUGUUUUUGCAAACAAGCAAGAUCUUCCAAAUGCCAUGAAUGCUGCUGAGAUUACUGAUAAGCUCGGUCUCCACUCUCUCCGUCAACGCCAUUGGUAAGUUUGGUUAAUGCUCUUUAUUCCUACCCCCUGUCUACCUACUCACCAAUGAAUUUACCCUCUACAUAGAAACCCUAAAUCAUCUGAUGGGGUCUGGUCAUUGUGUGUUUCUUUCAGGUAUAUCCAGAGCACAUGUGCCACUUCUGGAGAAGGGCUGUACGAGGGGCUUGACUGGCUCUCCAACAACAUUGCUAACAAGGUAGGCCCCUAAUGACACAUCAUAUUAGAAAAAUCCCACAUAAGUUAUGCUGGCUUCAUUCUAUUCAAAAUUAACAUUCCCUUUUAAUCUGUGUCAGGCUUAGAAGCCGUGGUAAUUGCCAUCAACAUUUUGCAUUGCCAACAUUGUCGUAAUGGAGAGAUGUUACCAUGUUGUUCUGGCGUUUUGAGAUUUAUGGUUUACUGUUGCUACUGCGUGUUGCGAGUAUCAUCUGCUUGUUUUACUUAGUUCCUUGUUAUUAUAGUAGAAAUUUGGAAUCUGUCCUGUAGAUUCAGAAUAAUUUGUGUAAUUUGCUGUUUUCUGAGUUGAUAUUAUUCUUGAGUGUUCUUCCUUGUUUGGGUUAGUUGAAGGGAAAAGCAAAGAGAGGUAGAGAAAUUCUCCUUGAAAAACUGCUUUUUGCCCAACUGUAGAACUCACAUUUUCAUUCAAAUCUACAUCAUAGUUUCUAGCGGGGGUGUUCAGCCAUAUGAUUAAAGCUGAUCUAGAGGGUGGUUUAACUUGAUAUCUUGGCCCACUCUUUCAAAGGUCAAGUCACAGUGAUGGUUAUAAACUUAUAAUCGAUGACCAUGUUCCCAUGGCUCCCAAGCAUUUCAUAGUUUGUGUAGAACCAUUUCUUGUGGGAAUUAUUACAAAAAUGUUGGUGCCUCCUGAGUUUCUUCUAUUCAACCCAAUUCCUAGUCAGGAAUAUCAAGAUAUGAACUUGUAUUAAACGGGUUAUUGGCCACUUUUGGAAGAAGGGUCUUGAAUCUAGAUUAUGGUUUCUUGGUGUUUGAAAAUGCUUUUAAACAAGAAGUUUUCACUUGAAAGAAUUCUACUGGGAAUUUAAUACAAAUUUUAUUUUAUUAAAUAAGUAAUAUAAAAAAUAAAAAAUUAAUAAGAAGUAAAUUUGAUUGAAUUGAGGAUUGGAUGAUCAAAGUAAUUAAGAUUUCUUUCGCCUCAUAACGAGAGAGAUGUAUUUAAAAGACACAACCCGCUCGAAAAGAAGUGAAAUCGAAGUUGUUGUUCUUUAUUCAUAGGCACCCCAUUGAUGAUCAAGGAAGAAGGUUUUGCAGAGCAGAGAGGGCUAUCUGAGUGAGGUCACUCGUCUGCCUGUUACUCUCCAGCAAUGGGUUCGUCCGCUUGGGCGGCCUGGUGAACAUAAAAUCACAGUCCUUGAUGGGUUGCACUGCCUUCUUCUCACUUUCAUUCACAGCGGCUAUAUCCCCUCCAUCGAACUGCUUCUUCGCCGCCGUGAAGCAGUCGUUCACCACCGCGUAAGCGUUCGAGCAUAUCGACAGACAGAAUUUCAGGGCCUUGUCAGUCGCCUGCCGGGUCAGCUCCUCCGUGUACCCCUUCGUGUGGGUGGCGUUGUCCAGGGCCCACCAAGAUGGCUAGUUGGGCCAGGUCGUCGAUGCCUUCGAAGUCGGCUGGGAGGUUGGCGUUCAUGGUGGUGCUGCAGAACUGGAAAUUAUCCACUCGGUGGCAGAUGUCCUGGAUUAGUCGCUCGGACGCUGAAGCCCGGGAGGAAGAAAGAGGAGGAAAGGAUAAGGGCCACCAUUGAAGGAACAAGGAAAGGGAAGAUCAUUUUCAUGGUUGCAGAUGGAUGGAGAAGAAGGUGAGGAGCUUGAAUAUAUAUCGGAAGAAAAAUUAGCAUGAUGUGAUCAUAUUUGAUAUCAUAAAGAAAAUCCAAGGGUUGUUUCCUUGAAUGAUUGAUUGCUAUUCUAGCAAAUUAAUAUUGGAGAAAAAAUGUUGGUAAAAGACUACACAGUGAACACCUGAAAUUGAAUAUGUAAAUUUUGAAUAACCAAAUGUUAUAAUAUCAAUUCUAUUCUAUCUUUGAUGGUCAAAUUUGGAUUAUUUUGAAUAAAUUUUGGAUAAUUAAAUAAUAAUAACAUUUUAUUGGACAUGUUGUUUCUUAUACAAACCUCUUUGAUGAUAUAUGUUUUUUGUAUUUAUUUUUGUUUGUAAUACAUGUCCUUUCUAUUUUUUAUUUUUUAAAUUCUAAUGGAUUUUUCCUAAUUAAUACCAAAAACAUUAUUAGUUUAAUUUUCACAAGAAUUUGCUUAUUGUUAUCUAAAGGAUGAAUAAUCUAAAAAGAAAAUUAAUUAAUUAAUUAAUUAAUUCUAUAUAUGAAGGAAGGAAGAUUGAUUUCAAUAUAUACUUCCAUUUUAAUCAACCCAAUGCCUAUUUAGAAUGUCCAACUAUUUUUUAGAAAAAAAAUAUUUUAAAACAUAUAAUUAAUUAGUUAAAAAAGAUGAAAUAAUCUAACAUAAAUGCCCCUUAUUAUUUCAAGUAUUUAUAAUAUAUGUGAUUCCCAAAAAUACUAUUAGAAAAAUCACUUUGACCAAAGGUAGUUCAAAUAAAAAUACUAUCAAACAUAUUUUAAUUAUCUUAAUAGAUAAUUGGUAAAGAAAUUGAUUUCAUAUUUUGAUUGCUCAAAUGAAAUUUUAUUCUUGCUUUGAGCUAUUAUAAAAUACUAAAAUUAUGUUUGAAAAUAUUUUUAAAAAUAGUUCUUAAAAAAAAAUUAACUUGAAAAUAGUUAUCAAUCUUUAUUAAGAAUAAAAUACUAUUAGGGGUUCAUACUUUUAGUUGGUUUUUUAAAUGCUAUAUAAAAAAUAAUUGAAAAUAUAUCAUAUUUGUUUUAAAAUAUAAUUUCAAAACAAAUUCUUAAAAUAUUGUUGUGAGUCAAAAAUCUAGGUUAUGUUUAUAUUUUUUAUUUUUAAAAGUGUAUUAACCCUACCUUAAUAAAGGUGUUUUUUAAAAGUAAACAAAAAAAAAAUGUCUUUAAUAACAACUUCUAAAGAUACUAAGAAAAUAAAGACUAUGCUUAAUUAAGAAAAUACCCAAAAGGGGAAGGGGGGUUGAAUUGGGUUUUUUUAAAAACUUUUUCAACUCAACAAGUUCAAGCAUAAUAUAAUAAAAAAAUAAAGAGAUAGAAUUAGAGAAUUCAAACUCGGGUUUUAUAGUGGUUCGACACUUUCUUGCCUACGUCCACUCUCCUCGAUCUCCUAACCGAGCGAAGAUUCUACUAACUUGAAGCUUCAACCAAGCUUCCAAUCUUCUUACACUUGGAUUCCGGCUUCAAUUGACUCUUACACAAUCUCUUCAAGAUUUAAACCUCUUGAAGACUUUAACACUCAAUUUUUACAAGAAUGAAUUCCUCAACCUAGGUCAAAGAUAGCUCAAAUACAAAACAAAACUAGGAUGACUCACAAAAGUGCACUAAAUGAUAUGCAAGUCAUGAUUUAAUGCACUAAAAAAGAAAUGAGAGCUUUUAGGCCAAGAACAGGUAGGUAGACAAUUAAUUGCAAGUGUUCUCUAUCUCAUAAAUGAAGUGGAGCUCUUAAGUUAUAGGUUUCUAAGCUUAGGAGCAAAAAACAGCAAAAGACAGCCUUGACCGGUCGAGCUAGGGGUCGACCGGUUUACUAGCCGUUAGAGCAUUUAAUGCUUUGACAGGUUACCGUUGCCUCGACUGAAGGUUGACCGGACCUCGACUGGGAAUGGAUGAACCUCAAUUGGGCAAAGGAAGUUACUGGAUGAGAGAUAGUGUUUUUGGCACUCCUUGAUCGGACCUUAAUCGGACAAGGGCAACCGGUCGACUAAUUCCCCAACUGGUUGAGUCGGUUGACCAGAGUCUCGACCGGUUCAGCCUUUUGGUCUCGAAAACCUAUCUUUUUCAAUUCAUUUUUUUUCUAACACUUAGGCAAGGUCUUUAGGUGAAUUAAUAUGUCAAUUUUAAAACGUUUUGCCUAAGGUACAUUUUAUAAAACUCGGGUUUUAAUGAAAUCGAAGUUUUAAAGGAUAAACCGAGUUUUCAAAUAUGCAUGAAACGGUAUGAAAAUCUUAAGUGCACCCAUGCAUCCAUCUUACAUUCGUUUCCUAUGAUCAAAAGUCUUCCAAAAGUCUCGAUCAUGUAUCCAUAUGAUCAUUUGAUGAAUUUCCAAAUUUAUACCUGAGAUUCUUUACCAUUCAAAUCAAUUAGUCAUUUAACCAUGGUUUGUUAUCAUCAAAACCCGAUUAGGAGAACCCUUGGGCUAACAGAUACCUAAUUUUUUUUGGUACACUUUUUUAUUUUUAUUUUUAAAAUAAAUAAAUUAUACUAUAUAAGAUACAAGAACUCUUAAAUGUUUAAGUCAAAAAAAUAUUAGUUAUAAAAAUAUGUUAAAAAAUUGGUAUGCUUAGAGAAAAAUAUAGUAUCAUUUCUAAGUAAAUUUUUAUAUUUUAUAACACUCCUUACAACCUUACUAUGAAAAACCCAAUAGGAAAAACCUUGAUAAAGGAAAAAAAACCUAAUAGGAAAAACUCUAGUGAAAGAAAUAUAUAUAUAUAUAUAUAUAUAUAUAUAUAUAUAUAUAUAUAUGUUCUUUAAAUUAUUUCUUUAAAUUAUUUAACCAUUAGAAUUGUCCUAUUAAAAACUUUUCCAAGAACACCUAAUAAGACAAAACCUGAAUGAAGAAAAAAAAAUGAGUAUAAUACAUAUAGAUUAGUAUUAUUCCCCCUCAUGUAAAUAUGAUUAUUUUUUCUUUAAUAUUUUCAUUAAAAAGAUCUUUCAAUCUUUGUAUUCCAAUGUUGUAUCUUAAUUUUUUUAAUAUAUUUGAUGGUAACAAUUUUUGGGAAUAGAUUUACUAGAUUAUCACAUAACCAAAUCUCUUGAACAUUAAUUUCACCAUUUUCUUGUAGUUCAUGAUUAUAAAAUAAUUUAUGAAAGAUAUGCUUAAUUCUAUCACCUUUUAUAAAUCCUCUUUUUACAAACAAAUUAUUUUUUUGUAACUUAGUAGCAUUAUCUUUGAUGGAAGAUACUCACAUAGUUCCUAUUUGUAUUCGAUCAUUAACCCUAAUCAUACACGUUCAUGACUUGUUUCAUCAAUUAAGAGUAAUUUUAAACGACUUGAAAAAAUGAGCACCAAAAAAGUGACCACUAUUGUUGUUUGAUUUAUCUUCAAGAUAUCUAAUACGUGUUUGAUUGUAUUCCAAUGUCUACUUGAUGCAAAGUAAUAUCUAGUGUUGACAAAAUACUAUAUCCAAUCACAUACAAUUUGCAAUAUAAAUUAACGCACCAAUGACACCAAUGACUAUGAGAUAAGGUAUUUUUAAACUAAGUAGUUUUUAGUUAUAACUUCUCCUAAUAUUUGAUGUAAAAGUCUUAAAAGAAAAACUCGAAAGAUUUUUGAAACUGUUGGUUAGAGUUUUAUGUUGAUAGUAUGUUGAAUAAUAAAAGGAUCGGAAGAAGAAAGAAAUUUGUAUGUUUAAAAAAAAAAAAGAUUGAAUAUCAUUUCAUUAGUUCAUCAUUUAUAGAAAGUCAUAAAAAGAUUUAUAAGGAAGUGUCAUGGUAGUAUUUACAUCAAUAUGAAUUAUUAUGAGAAAUUCACAUAAACAUAAUUAUUUAAAAGUUACCAUAUUUCAUAACAAAUAUCAAUUUUCUUCUAUUACUUUUUAUGUAGAAUUUAUUACUAGCUUCUAUUUGUAAAUUUUAAAAGGAGAAAAAAUGCACGGAAUGGAAAAUAACUUAUCUUUAAUAUCAAGUAAUUAAGAUUUAUAUAUAUAUAUAUAUAUAUAAAGGAAGUGAAUCCAGAUGUUGAAGACGACCCAAGGAGUUAUUCUUUCUCAGAGACACCUCAUUGAUGAUCAAGGAAGAAAGCUUUGCAGAGCAGUGAUGGCUGUCUGAAUGAUCUCCCUCAUCUGCUCGUUCCUCUCCUGCAAUGGGUUCGACCGCUGGGGUGGCCUGGUGAAGAUAAAAUCGCAGUCCUUGAUGGGUUGCACUGCCUUCUUCUCACUCUCCUCCGCACCAGCGAAAUCCGCUUUACCAAACUGCUUCUCCCCCGCCGUGAAGGAGUCUUUCACCACACCGUAAGCGUUCGAGCAUAUCGUCAGAUAGAAUUUCAGCGCCUUGUCAGUCGCGUGUCGCCUCAGCUCCUCCGCGUACCCCUUCGUGUUGGUGGCGUAGUCCAGAGCCACCGAGAUGGAUAACUUAGCCAGGUCGCCGAUGUCGGCUGGGAGGUUAGCCUUCAUGGUGGCGUUGCAGAACUGAAAAUUAUCCACUCGGUGGCAGAUGUCUUGGAUCAGUCGCUCGGUUUCUGGGUGGGCGCUGAAGCCCGGGAGGAAGAAGGAAAGGAGAAGGACCGCCAUUGAAGGAACAAGGAAAGGGAAGAUCAUUUUCAUGGUUGCAGAUGAAUGGAGGAGAUGGUAAAAGGCUUGAUAUAUAUAUAUAUAUAUAUGAGGAAAAUUAAUUGGUUUUGUUCUAUCAUACGAUAAAGAAUUAAUUGCUAUAUAUUCCUGCAAAUUAAUAUUUAAGGGAAAAUGUAACCGUAUUAAAUAUAAAUUUUGUAAUAAUUAAGGUGGUGUUUUUUCUUUUUUCUUUUUCUUUUUUAAUUUUUUUUCCGAAUAAAAGUGACCUAUUAACAGCAACCAAUAUAAUUAAAAUAAAUUUAUUAUCAAUAAAUUAACUUUAAUUAUAUUUGUUGAUACUAAUAAAUCAUUUUUACCUGAAUAAAAAAUGUUUCAAUAUUUUGAUUUUUUUAUUUAGCCAAAUAACAAACACUACCUAUAUAUAUUACAAUAUCAAUUCUAUAUAUUCUUUUUUUUCUUUUUUUUAUGUAUGGUAAAAUUUGAAUCAUCCAAUUAGUAUAUACCUUGCAUCUUAUACAAACCUUUUAUUGAUGAUAAAUGUUUUUUUGUUCAUAUUCAUUUUUGUUGGUGAUAUGUCUUUUUUAUUUAUUUAUUUUAAGUAAAAAAUGAAUUGAACUAACCUAAUAGGUUUAUAAGUGAUAAAAACCGAAUUGAUCAUAUUUAUAGUCAAAAAUCAAACCAAACCAAUGUUUUUUAAGGUAGUUUUGGUUUAGUUUUUGUGAAUCGGUUUUGAGAAAACUUAAUGAUCUUUUUCAAUUCUCACCCAAUUAUAGAUUUGUAUUUUUUAUCGAUUAGAAAACAAAGAAAUCAAAAACCAAUCUGAUAAGGUCAAUUUUUAAAAUCUCAAACCAAAUCAAACUUUAUGAUUAUUAAAAAUUAAAUCAAUAUGAUGAAUUUUGAUUGAUUUAAAUUAAUUUGUUGGUGUUCCCUACUUAUUGUUUGAUUAUUAUUUUUAAAUAAAUUUAACCACUAGGUAUGAAUAGUGGGAAGAAAAUGAUCUUGCUAUAAUAAUGAACAUAGAGCAAAAUAAAAUUUAUUUAUCAAAUUUUCUUACAUUUGAAAUUGAAAAAUUAACAUAUGAAGCACUUUUGUACUUAUUAAUAAUAAUAAAUAAUUAUAAUUAUUUAUUUUUGCUAUAUAAAAUUUUUAUCAUUCAAAAUAUAUUCAUGUAUCAUCUUUACCUUAGAAGAGGGAGGAAUUCGGCAAAGUAAAUCUUAAUAAAGAUCAAAGAGGAAUAAUUUACCUCAAAGGGAAAAAUAUGGUAUAAAUGAAAAGUUAAGAGUUAAUGUUUUUAAAAAGCACUUUUGAUAUAAAAAGUAUUUUUUUUUUUUUUUUAAAAAGGUAAUUGAUAAAAUUUAGAAAACAAUUUUUAAAAAAUUGAAAAAUUACUUAUAGUACUUCUUGAAAAAAAUACUUAAUAAAUGAUUUUUCUAAAAAUAUAAUCAGAAACAAAACAUUUUCAUUAAAAAUAAUUUUGAUAAAGAGUCUUUUAAAAGAAUUGCUUAUUAGACUCUAAUAAAAGUGUUUUUCACAAUGUUUUUAUUCAAAUCACUUGUACUAAAAGUGUAGCGUGUUUUGGAAAAUCACCUAACAAGUGUGUUUUAUGAAGCAUUAUAAAUAAUUUUUUACCUUUUUUAAAAGUGUUUUCUGAAUAUUUUUCUUCAAAAAUGCUUUUUAUACAAUUACUUUCCAAAAGCACCGGGCAAGCGGACUCUGAUAAAAGGCCCAGUUAGGGUGGGUUUUUUGUCUUUGGCUACAGUUGCAAUUUGAACAGCCCAAUUCGGUAAGGCCAGUAGAAUUUGGGCCUGCCCACACAUCUAGGCCCAUUUUCUUGAACCGAGAUAAAUCAUUGUACAUAUUACGGUUUGUUUCUCUUCUUCAUUUCUGGGAAUUUCCGGAAAACAAAUUCCGAUGGCCGCGAUCUACAGUCUCUACAUUAUCAACAAAUCCGGGGGCUUAAUCUUCUACAAGGUGAGAAUCUCCUUUCCAUUUCUACGGAAAUCAUUUUCCGCGAAAAUUUUGAUCGAGAAAAUGAAAAUGGGGAAAAGAUUCUUUUUUUUUUUUUUUGGAAACUAUUCAGAGUAAAUCGAUAGUCCCUGGGAGAUUUUUGCUUAUGAAAAUACGCCUUCACAUCUGGAGUUCAAUUUGGAAAAAAAAAUUUGGAGGCUGUUUUUCUAGGUAAACAAACGGGGUCUGACCUUGUGUAUGGGGAUUUUAGGAUUAUGGAUCGGCGGGACGGAUGGACACGAAUGAUAGCUUGCGAUUAGCGAGUUUGUGGCAUUCGAUGCAUGCGAUUUCUCAGCAGUUAUCUCCAACUUUGGGUUGCUCGGGGAUCGAGCUCCUUGAAGCUGAUACAUUCGACCUCCAUUGCUUCCAAUCGCUCACUGGUAUAUCACGAUUUUAUCCUAAAUUGAUGAGAAUAAAAGAAAACUGAAAUUGAAGGUUUUUUUUUUUUUUUUGGUUUUCUGUUUGGAUCCAGAGAUAAAAGUAGAGAAUUAAUAGCUCAACUAAGCUAGAGGAAAUGAUUGUGUAAUAAGGUUUAAUUCGGUGGAGUUUUCAUUCCUUUUUUUUUUUCUUAGUGAGAAACAGUUUCUGAAUAGUGUCGAUCUAAUCUUAGGGAUUGUUGUUUCUCAGUGACCGAGUGGAAUCAGAUGAUAAGAGCUUAAUUCCUUUGAUUAAAUUAUGCUUUUCAUUUUCCAUUAAUUGGAUAUUAAUGGAGAGAAUUCUUUUGUUAGUUGUAGUUUGGUUGGAGAGAAUGCUGAGUGUUAGUUUCCUCAGGUGAUAAAUAGUGAAAGUUUGAAGUUCAAAAUUUUAAUUUCUGACUGACCAAAAUAAAUGUUGGUUGACUCUGUUGUGUUUUUGGCUUCAGUUGGUAGUGUGGAUAGAUUGUUUUUGGUUUCUGGAUAGCAGUACUUGUAUUUAGAUGGAAAUUAGAUCAAUGUUCUUAAAUUCAAAAUCCAACUCGAUAGUUUGAUUGGAUGUAAUGUCUUACAGUCUCUUACCUUCAAAUUGAUUUCUACAUAAUUUUCUAAAUAGGCACCUGAGAUAAAUAGACCAAGUACACAGUAGAUACACAAAGUGUGCUAAGGGCAAGAAAAGAGGGAGACCACAAGCUAAUUGACUUCCUAAUCCCUUCCUAGAAAGCUAAUAAAAUCAAGUGGAGGUCUAGAUUCAAAGCCCAAAGAGGUGAUAACCCAAAAAGACCUCAUUCAUUGAAAACCUAUGGGUUCUUGUUAAGAAACCUUGUGUGCACUGGCUGAAGUCUUUUCUUUUUUGAUAGGUAAAUAAGAGCUUGUAUUAGAAGUGCCUAGAAGCGGUGAAAACAAUACACAUGAGGUAUACAAACAGGUUGCCCAAGAAACUAGGCGGAUUGGCUAAAGUCUUUGUUUUUGUGCAGCUUAUUAUCUUGGGCUAACUUGUUUAUAGAACAUCCAUCUAUGUCCUUAGUUGAUUUCAUUGAUUGGUUGGGGUCAGAUUGAGGGAGGGAGUAUUUUUGUUUUCCCUAUCCUUUUUAGCGCUUUUUGGCGGCUGUUUGUAUACACCGUGUGUACUUUGGUGCGCCGCUUUUGGUGUUUUAAUAUAAUUUGCAUUUACCUAUCAAAAAAGAAAAAAAAAGAAACCUUGUGUGGAUUAGAGCGGGAGGUAUUUUCAUAUACCAUGAAAAGAAGGUGGUCUAUCCUUUUUUAUUAGAAGGGAGCUGUUUGAGUGUGCUUGAGGGUCUGAGGAAAGGGUUCCAUGUGCUUGCAAAGAAUUGCAGAGGUGGUAGAAUGGGCAAAGGAAGAAAGAAAAGAGCAAGAAGAUAUGAUCAUAUAGUGAGACAAGUCAAUUUGUUGACUUGGAUGGAGAAGAUUAGGCAAGCCUUGGGCGGACCAUGAGAUUUGGGAAUUAGUAGGCUGGUUUAGUACAAGGAUAACUAUAAAAUUAUAAACCCCCAAGAAUUGUGCAAGUUGGAUGGUUUAUUCUUAUUGUUUUAUUUUUUGUUAAAGUGGGAUAUCCCAACCUCCUGUUGGACUAUUAUUUGUCUGUCGAUAAAUUUCUUUCCAUUGCCUAUAUCCUCUGCUGCACACCCAUACACACGAAACAGCUUAUCUCUAGGAGCACAAACAUUAGAAUAUCUUGUCACUAUGAGUUGUCUUUGCUUAGUAACAUAGCAUUUCUUGGUAGAGGAGUACAGUAGGUGACUUUUGAAGCUGAAUUUCUGAUUAUUAUAAGCAUGUCUGAUUCUGAAACUCUUACACCAUUCUAGAGUUAUGUUAUAACUCCUUUAAACUAUUUCAUGCUUAUUGAAAAAUUUUCUAGAUCUGUCACUAAGUUGUCUAAUUGUAACCUAUUAGAUGACUGUCAUUUGUAAGUACAUUUGACUAAAUAGAAUGCUGGAAAUUUACUAGCAACCCAGAUGUUAAAAGUUUACUUGCAAAUCUCUCCCCUCCACACUCAACGACUCCAACACAUGGUUCAUCCCUUCUGAAUUUCUUUUGUGGUUCUUUAAUGUAUGCUGAUCUUAAUGGCAUUGAUACUGGUGUAAAUUGUGGAAUUUGUCUUGGGCUAUGGAUUUUUACCUAGUUAGAAUUUGAGUAUUCAGUAGUAUAUCCCAAGGAUGUUGUGCAUGCCCACAAAUAUUUUAGUGUAAACCAGCUGGUUGAUGUGAAAUUUGAACCACUAUAAGGCUGAUAUAUCAAUCUGAUUGGCUUUCAUGUAAUCAUUGGUUGCUUUGCUCUCAGAAUUUUCCAGGAAACUUAUUUCCAUAUGAACAUAUUAUCUUUUCCAUUGGGUUAAAAUAGUCCCCCAACAAGAACUGUCUCACUAAAUUCCAGAACCAUUCGUUUUCGUGCAGGGACAAAGUUCUUUGUGGUAUGUGAGCCUGGAACACAGCACAUGGAGGGUCUUUUGAAAGUCAUCUAUGAAUUGUACACUGAUUAUGUACUAAAGAAUCCCUUCUACGAAAUGGAGAUGCCCAUACGAUGUGAGCUUUUUGAUAUCAACCUAUCCCAAGCCGUACAGAAGGAUCGUGUUGCCUUGUUGGGGCGAUGACCUACCCUUGUCUUACUAUGUGUUAUUUUUGUCUGUAAAUUUUUAGAACAAUCCCUUUGCCAAGUUUGUUCAAACUUGAUAUCUGUUUAAUUCUAGUUUUAUGGAUGAUUGAAAUACUACAGCUAUUAACAACUUUAAGAGAUAUGGCUUUCUUGGGGCUUGACUUAUUUCAUAUUCAUUUAUUCAUUCAGCUAUUACACCGUUUAGUUAACCAUGUAUGCUUCCAACAUGUUCAGAAAAACCUUUGAAGGUGAUUUUAGAAACCUUUAAGGUUGGUUUUGCUUGGAUUUAAUCAAUUUAAAAUGCAUUUUGGAUGAGUAAGAAAUAUAUUCAAGUGCAUGAAUCAAUUGAAAUAGACUUGGUAUUAUUAAACCUUAUUUUGUUAUCAUAAAAAAGCCCGAGCUAACAGUUUCCUUCAUGUUUGUUGUAUGAAAAUUGAAAAGAUCAAAUGGAAAAGAAGCCAUCAUUGUAGCAGAUAUGUUGUUACUGCAAUUUUCUAAUCCCCGCCAUCUCAUUUCAAUGAAACCCCAACAAUAUACUGGUUCACACUCACUGAAGUUUCACAGGUUAUGAUCAUAUCUCGGCUGAUACCAUCGGUUGGUGAGUCUAUAGGGAGCCCAUUCGCGCAGUUGUAGGCCAGCGUCUGCGAUUCCCCCGGCUGGGUAAUGCUCUCAUACUCUUUCUUCUCCGACAACUGGUAGGCCACUUUCAGCAUUUCCAUUAUUGAAUUAUAAAGACUCACACAAUUUCUGAAAGACUCCUUCAAUGCAGUAUCGGUGGAAUUGUCCAUGAACUUUGUGAAAGUGUCGUAGUUGCUACUUCCUUGUUUCAUCGUUAGAUUGAUUGAUAUCAGAGAAAGCCCAUGCAGAUCAGCUGAGGUGGUGCCCGGAACGCUUUCCAGAAUGCCCUCACAGAUUUCCUGGUUCUGGGUUUGGGAGCAGAUGCUGGCCAAGGUCUCUUGGGUGACCCCAGAAGUGGGAGAGGUGAAGAGAGAAAAUACCAUGAGAAGAGCAGCAAACAUGAAGGUAAGAGAUGACUCCAUUACCAUUUUUCCUAUUUGGGUUGUGAGAAAGUUCGCCAUGGAUCCCUAUGUUCAAAUAGGAAAUUUCUUGGCCAAAUCUGGUUAAGGAAAAAUGAGAAAAAAAAUCCCGAGAGCAAUUUGAGGAUUGUUUCACGGAUGUUUUGGUUAAAAAUGUGGAUUUAAAUUUGGAAACUUAAAAUGAAAAUGGCGAGAAACUCAAAAUUUUUGGAGGGAAAUUGGGAAGAAUGGUCAAUAAUUUGAGAAGAUUCUUUUUUGAAGAUUCAUCUGCAAGUUGAUGGAAACCCAAGUGCUAAGAAAAGUAUAAACAAAUCUGAAAACACAGUUUUAUUAUCAGUUUGUGGGGUUCAGCCAUUGGAAUCAACCAAACAAACCCUUCUUUUAUAGGUGAGGAAAUCAACCAAACAAACCCUCCACAGAGCAAAAGACUCGUUCAUUCAAACAAGAGUCUUCAUGCAUGCUGAGUAGUUACAAUUUAGAAAUUUCAUCCAUACUGAAGUUUUAAUCCGUUAUUAAAUUUUGAAACAGUCUGUCAAAAUUUGUUUUAAUUGGUCAUUGAAUUUUAAAACUGUCAUUUGACUUUAAUGUAUAAUUUCACCAAUCUAUUCAACUUUAAUUUGAAUAAUCUGUGUAAUUUGCAGUUUCUAAGUCAAGAAAUUUUACUUCAAAAGUCUACUUCUAGGGAGCACCGACUAAUAUCAGAAAAGGGUAUCGACAUUUCACUAAUAUUUGACCAUCGAUUUUUAUAAAAGUCAAUUUUAUAAUAAUUUUAGGCAACGUUUUCUAACAUUUCUAAUACUGAAAUUUUUUAAAUAAUUCUUAAAAUCAUUGUCAAAUAUGAAAUAUAUCCUAAAUGUCAUAUAACUUUGAAUAUUGUAUAAAAAGAAAUUUAAAUAAUUUUUUGUUCCUAAUAAGCUCUAAGAAAUCAAGAUAUGAACUCAUCUCUACCAUCUCCUAGGGUGAAAAAUGCAAAGAUCUUGAACACACGUGAUAGAAAGAACUAUAUAUCAGAAUUGGGUAUUAUUCUUAGAGGCCAAAAUACUCAUUCCAGUCAAUAAAACCAUAACCCAUACAUCAAUUUGUGUAGGGUGGAUAGUGGGCAGUAGUUUUCUUAUUGUCUCAAGACACUGUUUGAACUUAAGAAAAAAUUCUCUUCACCAGCAAUGGUGGAGUGCAGUCUUCCAGCAGCCCAUCCAUUGUUCAAUGCACGAACGGCAGCACGAGCAGGGUCCCCGGCCACUCGGCUGCCCUCAACUUGGCUUUCAAAUUCUGGAAGGCCGACUGCCUUUCGUUCUUUCCUUCUUUUCCUCCCCUCAUCUCUUUCCUUCCUUAGCCAACUCUCCACUGUUCUCUGCAAAAUCCACACAUCUAUGGUAAUAGAAAGUUGCUAGCAGUAUAUAUAACAAACAAUUUUGAAUCAAGAAUUCAAUGGAGGGAGGAGGAUUGAAACAUCUAGAUCAAAAAGGGUGGGAUAACUAACCAUUAGUGACAAAUUGCUCAUCUCCCUGACCUUUUCCAUUGGCAUUGCUAAUUGUAAUUUCCCAUGAGCCACAUACACCUGAAAACACCAAACCGCUUUCACAGAGCUGAAACCAAAUCUAGAUAGGAAACAUGGAGGAAGAAAGGGAGCAAGACAUACAAGAUGGGAUGGCCAAUUCUCCAGACCAUCAAAUAUAUGCGUCGCAUAGAUGAUUGUAGCACCUCGCUCUUCACAUUCCUUUCUGAGGAACUUCAGAAGGUCGGCCCUGGCCAGUACAUCAAGAUCAACUGUUAUCUCGUCUAGAAGAAGAACCUAUAUAAACAAGGGAACCAAUUUCAAGUUAUUGAAAUCUCAAGAAUUUCCAAUGGAAGUGUAGAGUGAAUGCAUGCUUUCAAAAGGUCCAAUUCUUUAAGAGGUAGAAGCUUGAUGUUACUUUGAAUGGCUUGAGGAGACCCAUACAGAUUUGCACCCGUCUUCUCUGACCAUCAGACACCUUGUGAAGUCUCCAUGAUAGAUCAAUAUCUAAAACCUACAACACCACAAGAAAAAUUUUUCAUUCUGAACUCAGUUCUUGUGAUUUAACUUCAAUGGAAUUUUGUUUCAAUACAUGGGUACAAGCAAACAAGCAAGUUGAGCGGAUAGAAAUCACACAACAUUACAAGAUUGAAGUUUUGGUGUUUCUGAUUCACAUCUUACCUUGAUUAGUUCAGCUCUUCUUUGAGGAUCAAUACCCGAUACUCCAAAUAUCAUUUUCUCAGCUGAAACAUCCAUUUGAAUCGGAACCUCAAACCCAGCAAAGGCAACGUCUCGCCUCCACUGCAGAACAAAAUCCUUCCUUAAGAAAAAAGUGCUUGUUCAUGAUUGAAAAUGUGUUACAAGUGAUGAAGGAUGACCUAAAAGUGAAAAUUUUUUAGGAGAUAGGAUUGAUUUACGAGCUCCAUUUAGCUUGUGUACAUAAAUUAUCAAUUAAUAUAGCUGAGCAAUCUUAAAUCUCAAUGAUGAGCAACCUCAUUUAUCAACAUGGGCACACUGCGUUUUUCGAUUUUACUUUCCUUCAGUUCAAAAGAACCAAUUAUUAACCCUACAAGCCACUGAAGAUCUGUUACAAGUUUUGGACAUUUUUUUCAAUAGAAACUAUUUGCAAACUACAUUUUCCUCUCUAAAAUGGUGCCCUAAGAUUCAGCAAUGUCAAAUUCAAGAUGGAUUGUAAAAAAAGCCACUGAAGAUCUGUUACAAGUUUUGGACAUCUUUUUCAAUAGAAACUAUUUGCAAACUACAUUUUCCUCUCUAAAAUGGUGCCCUAAGAUUCAGCAAUGUCAAAUUCAAGAUGGAUUGUUAAAAAUAAAAUAAAAUAAAUAAAAAAAUAAAAAAUAAGAACAAACCUCUCCUCCAAGAUAGCAGAGGUCACCAGAAGAUGUCAAGGCAGUGUCAUGAAAAGCCGAUCUUCCAAGUACUCGAACCAUGUGAGGUUCUACCAUGUGCUUCCCACCCAAGAUUUUCAGAAUUGUAGUUUUCCCUAUAAACACACAAACCCAUUAGAAGUUCAGAUUUUCCAUUCAAAAUACCUUGUGUUUGAAAACAGAAAAUGCCUGAAAAAAAGAAGCAAUCAAACCAAUUUGUCCCUAUUUGAGAGAAACCAAUGACAAUCAUGAUUUUCCCUAUAAAACUCCAUGUGUUUGGUCACUGGGAAACGCAGGAAAUAAAGGUAAUUAAAUCUACCCGCCUCCAUUUUCUCAGUGAAACCAAUAAGAAUCAGUAGUGUGCUUUCCCUCCCAAGAUUUUCAGAAUUGUAGUUUUCUCUACAAACAAACAAACCCAUUAAAAGUUGAGAGUUUCCCUACUAACUAUCUAGUCUUUGAUUACUGAAAAUGCAUGAAAAGAGAAGCAAUAAAAAUUGUUAUUUUCCCUAGAAAAUUCCAUUUGUUGGAUCACUGAGAAAUGGAGGGGAAAAGGUAAUUAAAUCUACUCGCCACCAUUUUCUCCGUGAAACCAAUAACAAUAAGUCAUUUUUCCUACAAAUUUCCAUGUGUUUUGGCUACUGGGAAAUGCAGGAAAAGAAAAGCAAUCAAAUGAUUCAAAUCUACUAGUCUUUCUCAAGCGCCCAUUUUCCAAAGGAACCGCACUUUUCCCUUGAAAAUUCUACCCAUUUGCCGAAUGAGAAAAUCAACGAAAUCCACUUGGGCCCAUUCCCUCAUAGAAACCCACAAAACUGAUGACAUUCCCUAGAAACAACCAAACCCACCAGAAAUACGAUUUCCCCCACAGUUGGUAGGUGGGAAAGGCAAGAAAAUAAAAACAAAAUCAACAUUCGGACUCGUCCCUUUCUGGGUUCAUUCAAAAAGCAGCGUUUGGAAGGAGGGGCCAAGAAGUGAACCUGCGCCAUUGGAUCCGACGAGGAGGCAGCGGUCGCCGGAGUUGAGAGUGAGAGAGAAGUGGUCGAUCAGAGGCGUAGAUCCGGGAGGAGGUUGGCCGUCGAUUCCUGGGUAGGUGAAUCUCAGAUUGUUGAUCUCCACCGUUUGCUUCGAGAUGUCCUUCACUGCCAUUGUUGUCAAUACAGGAGGAGGAGAAGAAUUUAUAUAUAGAUUUAGAGAGGGAGAGACGUGGCAUGUUGUCAGACGCUAGAAGCAUUGGUUGGGUGCGGAAGAUUCCACGUAUCUACAGUGAGUCACCAAGGGUUGGUAAGGUUUUUAUGGGCUGUAAUGUUUUCGGCAACAUUUAUAAAAAGUAGUUUUUGAAAGCUGUCAUACGAUCCUUUACACAACAAAAAUCUAUUUCAAACCUAAAAUAAUAUUUUUAAAUAUAUUUUUUUAUAUAUAAUAUCUUAUUUUUAAUCAUUCUGACCUUCAAAAUCGUACACAAAACGUAGAGUAUAUAACCUUUGUGCUUUUAUUGUUUCCAAAGAUUUUAAAUUAGGGAAAUAGUUGUUUUCUCGCAACAAAAAUAGCUUCAAGAAAUAAAAUUGAUUUCACAUUCUAUCUCUAUCCCAGAAUUUCAAACAUGACAAUCAAUAAAAGCCCAAAGGGGUAGUGGCAUCAUUUAUUACAUCCAACAUUCAUAAACAUAACAAACUCCAAUCAACAACAAAAAAGUAAAUCAAACACUCUAUCCGCUCAAGCAACCGAUCAUGAAUCGUCUAGGCAGCCGAUGUGGGCGCAAUGUACUGGACUACGCCGGCCUCCAAAAGCGCCGCCGUUCACGGCUGUCCUUUUGCAGAUGAGUUCCCGUAAUCCAAGCUCUCAUCAUUGUAUAUAUCCCACCACUUCUUUACCAACAUCUUUAUAUCCUCCCUCUCCAUGUUCUCCUCCUGCCCAGUAUACUUCCAUGGCUUUGAACCCUGAAAAUCCAAUACAGGCUUGUAAGUACUAACUUAUCGGAUUAAAAAUAAAUGAGACUUAAGGCAGCACAAUUGCAACUUAAGGCUGCAAAACUGCACGAUUGCGAACAACUUUGGUUUAAAAAUAAAUGACACUUACGGCAGUACAAUAGCGAACAACUUUGGUUCUUUCAAGGUCGACGUGUUCUGGGUGGCGCCAUAGCAUGGGCAAACCAAGGUUGUAGAUUAGUGUAAUGGGCAUGUAGGUGUCUUUGAAGAACAUAUUCAAAUAGUCCUGCAAACAGAUGUAUAUAUAAGAAAGGAGAUUUUCAAAUAUUUGAUACAACUGAAAGGAAAUUUUUGAUGAACAAGAAAUAGGCCACCAUGCAAAAAUUGUUCGAAACACUCCUUAAACUAGUUCAAAAUGAGAAAAACAUCCUCAUGAAAUUUGGCCAACCUGCUCAGCAAAAGUGCUAGCAGGAGUGAUCUUGAGAGUGCUAAGGAGAUGGUCAUAGACGGAGAGGUUAGGCUCGAAGAUAAACAUGCUGGCGUUGAAGUAGAAAGGAGGCUCCGGACCCAUCUCCGCCGGCCACUUCACCUUCUCCGGUUACUGCUGGCAGUACCCAAUCUUGUACUGCAGCGAGUUGCUCCACGUCUUCUCACAGAAACAGUCCAUCACAGCAUAGAAAUACCCAUCAUCCAAAUCAAACAAAUGGUCUAUGUUACCAAACACCUGUAUGUCUCCGUCCAAGUAUAUCAUCUUACUGUAUUCCACAAACUGAAAACCAAAAAAAAAGGAACCCAGAAUUAGAAAAGGUCAAGGAAGAAUCAGAGGGUGAAAAUUUGAUGAAAUGGCUAAAGACCCACCUCCCAGAUGCGGAGUUUGGAGUAGUUGAUGACGUAGUAGGCCAUGGUGAACUGGGUCUGGUUCUCCGGCGGGUUCACCGGCUCGAUCUCCUUGACGACGCAGCCCUGUUCCUUCAGAAUGCGGCGGUGCUCCGCCGGGACGUCCGGCAGUACCGCCACCACAAGUGGGUAUGCGGUUUUAACUUUUCUCAGCCCCUUGGCCAGCCCCACCACGCCCUUCACGUAGUCGCCGUUUCCGGCCAAGAACGUCACAUAUGCCCGGCUGGAAAUGCUGGCAGCCUUGGCCAAACCAGUUGCAGAGGCCAAAGUAGGAGGCAUUAGAGCCUUCAACCAAAGAAAACUAGAAAGAAAAUGAGGGAAAGUUGAUUGUUGUAGAUUUUGGGUGUGGUGUUAUAUAGGGAGGGGGGGUGGGGGUGUGAUAGAGACAUGAAAUGUUAUAUAGGGAGGGUGAGGGGGUGGGGAGACAUGAAAUGGUAAUCCGUCGGCUAAACACUCCCCCCAAUAUGGUAUGAAAUACUAACACACAAAUAAAUAAAUAAAUAAAUAUAUAUAUAUAUAUAUAUAUAUAUAUAUAUAUAUAUAUAUAUAUAUAUAUAUAUAUAUAUAAUAUAUCUUUAACAACACAUAUAAAAUAUUUUAUAAGUUAAAUAAUUUUUUUUCAAAAAUAUUAAAUUAAAUAAAAGUUUAAAUUAAUUUUUUUUUCAAAAAUAUUAAAUUAAAUUAAAGUAUUUAAAAAAAAUAUUAAAUUAAAUAUUUUUUUUAAAUAUUAAAUUAAAUAAAAGUAUUUUAAAAAAUAUUAAAUUACAUAAAAGUAUUUUUUAAAAAUAUUAAUUUUUUUUCUCAAAAUCGACAAAGAUCAUUUUUAAAAAUACUGAAGGAUGAUAUCCUUCAACUCAAUUUCCAUACUUUUAUUAGAUUUUGGACUCAAUUUGAAGAGUUACACGGACCUUUUAUUAAUUUGGGACUCUAUCUAUCCCAAAACAUAAUUCUCCCUUUUCUAUUUUUAGAAAAUAUAUUGUUUUUAUCUAAAUAAGAUUCUUAUACCUUAUAGUUUCCUUUUUCUACCCUAUAAUCAAUUAAUCAUAGUCCAUUUUUAAUUUUUUUCUGUACGACAUAAUAAGAGUCUCGGUCCUACUUUCUUGUAACUGUUUCUUUAUCCAUAUUUGUUUAAUUAUUUACAACACUACCAUUCCCCAUAUACAGUGAACAAAACCAAGAGUUUUAGACCGACCCAAUUCCAAAAUCAAUAUUGGGAUUGAAACACUUGCCCAACCACUAUGAAAAUGACAACUGACAACUAGUUACAUGAGCCACUCAGCCACCCAUGCUAGACAACUAGAUGAACCAGGUUGAGAUUUAAGAGUCAGUAAACAUUGUGAUUGUGCUGCUGAAUUGGGAGAAAAUCGAUUAUGAAAUUAAAGGAAUUUCGCAUGUACGAAUUAUGACGUGUGAACCCAACCACUAAACGUCAAAGGAUUGAUUCCUUUUGACUUUGUCCAUUUAGGAGUUUCACGGAUGAUCAACGGUUCACAACUGUGGUAGCUUUCUAGACCCACGAGGUGCGACACACCGGAUCCUUCACCUGCCACCCUGGCCUUCUUGUUAUAUACUUAUAUCAUCCUCACUUAGAUUGGGUACAAGCCGCUUUCCCUUGCUUAUGAAUGAAUGAAGUGCCCUCAGAGAGAGAAAUAGAGUGGGCCGUUUGGGGUUCGACCCUCAUACCGUCGCAGUAAUUAAUAUAUACUUUUAAUGUUUUAUGCUUUGAAAAUUCUCACUAAACCAACCUAUCUAUUUAUUUUUCUCUCUUGAUGCUUUAAAACAUUGCUCCAUGCCAAUACUUCUUUUCUUUUUGUGUUUGGUUUAUUUUCUUAUUUAAAGCUUGAGUCGGUUUUAAUUUAUUUGAAUACCCACAUAUAGAAUGAUUGUUCUAAAUUCAAUAUUAAAUAUUUCAAAAAUCAAAUAAGCUUUGUUUAUAUUAAGAUUUUAAUUGAUUAAAUUUAUCAAUUAAGUACAAUAAUAAUACAUUUCUUUUGUUUGUAAAAAAAAUGGGAUGUUUUGGAGAUUUAUGGGCUUGUGCUAAAAGUUUUACUGGUGGAAUUAUCUUGUGAUGAUGGCAUGCCAAAAUUUAUCUUUAAAUAAUGACCCAAAUCCAAUAUGAACAAGCAUGUGAAUAGGGAAUUUAGGAGGUCACAAUGUCCUUGGUCAAAGCCUAAUCGCCCCCCACUUGCUCCAACCCAGAUCCGCCACUUGCAGAGGCAUAACUGCCACGCGUCCGCGAAACACUCGUCUAUCAUUUUUUAUUAUUCCAUUUUUGGAAUAGAUAAAGUAAGGGCCAGUUAAGUGUGAAGAUCUCCAUCCACCGUAAUAAACCUAACAGGGCAUGCACCCUGAUCAUUGAAUUUAGAAACCCCGAUAAUGAAGUGUCAGUUGUUGUGCAUUUGUACUAGUACUAGUUCAGAUGAUACCAGAAGGACAACUACAAAGACCUUAGUCCUGAGUUUGAAUAAUGGGGAGGUCACUUUGAGUUGUUAAAAUGAUAUCAUUCUUAAAAAUGGAUGUAUUUUUUUUAAAUAUACGUAUUUUUCUAAAAGAUAUACCUAAAGUUCUACCAUGCCAAAUGAGAUAUGGAAAUGCUUUCAAUGCAUUUCAGGGUGUACAUAAGUCAAUUCUUAAAUCCAAAUAAAGGAAUAGUUCACCUUAAAUCAAAUGAAAAUAUUUUUCUUAAGGAUAUAUGUAUUUUUAUUUUUUAUUUUUAUGAAUAUAUGUAUUAUUCUGAAGGAUAUGCCUAAGGUUCUAUCAUAUCGAACGAAUUUAGGAAGAUCUAAAAUAGAUCUUAGGAUGUACAUAAAUCAAAUCUUACACCCAAAUUAGUGAAAUGAGGUCAUGAUUUACCUCAAAGAAAAUGUACAUAUUUUUCUUAGGAUGUUUCCAAGGUUCUAACAUAUUGAGCCAUGUAUGGGAAUACCUCAAAUGCUCUCUAGGGCAUACAUAAGUCAAUUCUUAGAGUCAAAUUAGGUUGAAUAAGGCCAUAAUUCAACUAAAACCAAAUGUACAAUUUUUUCUUCAGCAUGUAUGUAAUUUGCUUAAGAAUAUAUGUAUUAGGUUGAACGAGGUUUGGGAAGACAUCAAAUGCAUCCCCAGGUAUACAAAAGUCAAAUCUUAGACCCAAAUUGGGCCCAAUGAGGUGACAAUUUACAUUACAUGAUAUAAGAAUAUUAAAUUUAUUAUAUAUUAAUAAGAUUUCAGUUUCCCAUUUUUAUCCAUCUAUUGCAUGCAUUAUACUUUUUUAUCAUUCUAACAUGACAUCUCUUGCAUUGUCCAUGCAAUUUAUAUGUAAGGCUCAAAAAAAUGGGGGAUUGAUCUGAGACCCGAAUCCACGAUCCAGAGUCCGAGAGAUGAAGCUCCAUGCUGGUUCUUUAUAUUUCAAGACUGAGGCCGGAUCAAGGAAUUUACAAACUGGCCCAAUAAGAUACAAACCCAAUAAUAUUUGGGAUCGACCCAAAUGCAGGGUUCAAAAUAUCGGCCGAGUCCGGUACGACUCGGCCGAGUCCGGUACGACUCGGCCGAGUCGUAUCCGCCUCGACGCCGACCGCGACGAGUCCGAUACCAGAUACAUUUUAUACCUAAACUCGGAUUUGAAUCGGUUGGACUCGGAUGACUCGACCGAUAUCCCGAGUUAACUCGGUCGACUCGGAAAAAAAAAAAUCAACAAAUUCUGAAACCCAUCACAACAAGAAUCAACAUUUUUAGAGAAAUCAGGAGUGAAGAUUUUUCAUCUUUUGUGCGCUGUUGGUGCCGCAACGGUGACUGAACGCCGGCUAAACAACCCUCAUUCCGAGUUUGGGAGCAAAGAAGAGCUUUGUGUAGUGAAGAAAAUAGGAUUUGAUGGCACCACCGGCAGAACCAACGUCGUGAGCGUCCACGGUGGAGGGCAAGAUAGGAGAAGAGAGAGAUGGCCAUGGCGGUUUCACUCUCUGCAGAUCGCACUCUCUGCUUCAGUGGAGGGAAGAUAGGAGAAGAUAGGUCUUUGAUCCUAUGUGACUCAGCACCAUGACAUAUUUUUACGGGUUCAGCCCACCAGAUUAGGCCCAGCCCAAGUUCAAUUCAUAAAAGCCUGUGAUCCAUGUAUUUCUGUAUAAAAAAAUAAAUAAAUAAAAAUUUGGUGUUUUAAGCUUAUGGAAAAAAAUGAUUUCUUCAAAAAUAUAUUAAGAAAAAUAAAAUUUUCAUGCAUGAUUUUUUAUAAAAAUAUAUAUAUAAAAAAAUCAAAUAUAAUUAAAAUUAAUUAUAUAUAAAAAAAAUUAAAUUAAACUUUGUUUAAAGAAUCAUAUAAGAAUAAUGUAUUAAUAUUACCUCGGAAGGAGGUUAAUAAUUUAAGUAAUUGCUUAAAAUAAUAAUUAUGUUGAUGUAUUAGUCUAAAUUGAUAAAAAAAAAUUUAUUUAUGCACCCCCGUCUAUAGAUCUUACCUCUAAAGAUCAUAUUGAUUAUAGUUGACUUCAAGUUGAUUUCGAGACCGAUAUAUUUAUUUUUAUUAGCAUUAUUAUAAAUAACUUUGAGCAAAUACUUUUAUAACUAUUUAAAUAAUGUUAAAUGUAAUACAAUUUUAUUUUAUUAAUUUUUUGAGUUUAUUUAAUUGUAUAUAUUUUUCUGAUGAUUUACAUAAUAUUUUUAUAAUUUUUUGAAUUUUCUAAUUAGCUUAUUUUACGUAUCGUCCGAUACCAAACCGAUACACCGAGACCGAUACGCCUCGGGACCCUCCGAGUCAAUGACCGAUACCGCGACUUUGAACCAUGCCCAAAUGUUGGGCCAAAUUUUUCGAAAAGAGAUGCUGCGAUGCAUGAUGACAUAUAGUUCGUUUUCUUUCUACAUUUCUUGGAAUUCUGGAAAACGAAUUCCAAUGGCCGCGAUUCACAGUGUACAUCAUCAACAAAUCCGGAGGAUUAAUCUUCUACGAGGUAAGAAUCUCCUUUACAUUUCAAUGGAAAUCAUUUUCUGUGAAAACUUUCUCUGAGAAAAUAAAAAAGGAAAAAUUUUCAUUUUGUUGCAACUAUUCAGAGCUUGAGGGUAAAUUGGUCGCUCCUGUAAGAUUCUUUCUUAGGAAAGAUAUAUCUUUACAAAUGGAGUUCAGUUCGGAAAAUUUUUGUGGACGCUGUUUUCUAGGGAAACAAAUGGUGGUCUGACGUUGUGUAUGAAUGCUUAGGAUUAUGGAUCGGCCGUACGGAUGGACACGAAUGACAGCUUGCGAUCGGCGAGUUUAUGGCAUUCGAUGCAUGCGAUUUCUCAGCAUUAUCGCCGACUAGGUUUGCUCAGGGAUCGAACUCCUUGAAGCGGAUGCGGAUGCAUUCGAUCUCCGUUGCUUCCAAUCACUCACUGGUAUGCCUGGAUUUUAAUCUAAUUUGAUUAAAAAAAAUUGAAAUUUGAAGAUUUUGCUUUAUGUUGUGUUGGUUCUCCGUAUGGAUCCCGGGAAAAUGUAGGAAACUGAAGGAAAGAGAAUUCAUAAUUCAACUAAGAUAGUGGAAAUGAUUCUGUAAUAAGGUUUGAUUCGGUGGAGUUUUGAGUUUUCGUUCUUACUGAGAAAUUUGAAUAGUGUAGAUCUAAUCUUUAGGUCAGUGACCGAGUGGAAUCAGCUGAUAAUAGCUGAUUUGUAUUUUUUUUUAGUUUCUUUAUGCUUCUCAUUUUCGAUUAAUUAGAGAUUAAUUUUUCGCUAGCUAUGUUUUGGCUGGAGAGAAAACUGAGGAAAAAAAGGAAAGAAAGUAUUCGACUCAGCAUUGAAGGUUUAAGUUUCCUUAGGCAAUAAAUAGCGAAUAUUUGAAGCUCAAAUUUUAAUUUCUCAGCAACUAAGGGAUUCCAUGUUUUUCGCUUCAGUAGGUAGUGUUAGAUCGAUUGGCUCUGGUUUCUCGAUACUACAACUUGUAUGCAAAAAUAGCUUCAAGAAAUAAAAUUGAAAGAAACUUAAGAAUCAACUUGUAUGCAUAUAGAUAGGAAUUCUAUGCUUUUGAACACAAAAGCAUAUGGUAACUUUACACCAAUCGUAUACUAAUUAAUGUAUUUUGUUACAUUCAUAUCAUCCAAUAUUCAUAAACCUAACAAAUUCCAAUCAACAAAAAUGGAAAAAAAAAAAAAAUCAUCAACCUUAGAUAUCCUCCCAAUACAACCCUUCUCCUAGACUUAAAACUUUACAAGAAGAAGAAUAUGUUCACCCUGGCUUCAAACCAAACCCAACUACUAAAACUAAACUCCUAUAUAUAUAAACUGAGCCUUAAACAACCGAUCUAGGCAGCCGAUGGGGCGGUAAUGUAGUGGUGGACUUCGCCGGCCUCCGAAAGCACCGCCGUGAAAGGCUGUCCAUUUGCUGAUGAGUUCCUGUAGUCCAAGCUCUCAUCAUUGUAUAUAUCCCACCACUUCUUCACCAACAUCUUUAUAUCCUCCCUCUCCAUGUUCUCCUCCUUCCCAGUAUACCUCCAUGGUUUUGAACCCUGAAAACCCAAUACAAAUUUAUUAUAAACCGGUCUAAGGUUGUGGAUUUAGGGUUUACAGAUUAAUUCCGGACUUAGAAAUGAUACUUACAGCAGCACAAUAGUGAACAACAUUGGUUCUUUGAAGGUCAAUGUUCUCUGGGUGGUGCCAUAGCAUGGCUAAAACAAGGUUGUAGGUGGGUGGAAUUGGCCUGUAGAUGUCCCUGAAGAAUAUAUUCAAAUAGUCCUGCAAACAGAAAUAUACAAAAUGGUAGGUAUUAGAUGAUACAACUGAGAAGGAAAAGUUUCAUGGACAAGAAACUGAGCCCCUGUUUGGCUGUUUCCUGGGAAAUGUUGACAUGGUUGAGUUUUGUAAGAAUUUUCAGUUUUAAGAAAGCAAGAAGCCAAAAGAAACAGUUGGGCAUGCGCCAAAGUAGAAAAAACCGAAACCUAAUUCAGGGAGGUGUUUGAAAAGGACAAGGCCCCAAAAUCCCCGAAAUAUUUUUACAACAGGAAGAAAGAAAACAGUCGAGCCAAAGAUACCCGAAAUAAGUUUGAAAUGACAAACAUGCCCUCAAGUGUGUUGCACCAAGGGGCAUGUGUUUUUUGAAAACAUGUUUUCAGUAAAAGCAAAAGUUUAGAGAAAAACCAGAAAAAUGGAAAUAGAGGAUAACAAAAAACAAAAUUUUCAAGCAAAACAAAAACUAAAUUAGUUUAAAACGACAGAAAUGACCUCAAAACACCUCAUCCAUGUUAGAAAAACCAGGAAAAUAAUAGUUUAGAGUUGAACG